rnacentral:piRNA from 1 species
UACUGGAGAUAAAUGAACACUAUCAUUGUC